AACCUCCUGGUGCUUACCACAGACUGUGUUCUUAUACUGACUGUCUAGAAAGAGCAGGUAAAGUAAACCUACCCCACAUACACUUCAGCUCAGGUCCUGUGCUUGGUCUGUAUUGUGAAUGGGGAGACAUGG
rnacentral:snoRNA from 1 species